rnacentral:rRNA from 1 species
GGCGGCCGUAGCGCGGUGGUCCCACCUGACCCCAUGCCGAACUCAGAAGUGAAACGCCGUAGCGCCGAUGGUAGUGUGGGGUCUCCCCAUGCGAGAG